ensembl:lncRNA
UUUCUGAGUUGGAAGAACAGAGUGUUCUCAUGAUCAUUUAUAAUGAACAUUUGUGAGAUACUUGGAUACAUUUGUUAUGACUGAUACAGAAAAAUGAAAACAUAAGUGGGGAGUGGAUACUCUUUUUCAGGAGUUAGCCUGAAAAUUAUGUAGUAAUUCUUAAAAGGAAGAUCUGAUUUGUUUAGUGUGUGUUCUUUAUGCACCAUGUUGUAAUUAGCUUACAGUGCUGCUAGGUGAAUUUUUAAUUAUUUUGUGCAGUUCAUUUAAAAUAAGUCUGUAUAUCUAACUAAAGUCCACUAAAAUAAGCUGUAAUCCUAGAUCUUACCUGACAGGAUAAGCUCUCUCAGGAUCUCUUGAAACAGAGUUGUAUUAUUUAUGCUGUACGUGCCAUGCAUGUGCAUUGUGCUGUUAGCCAGAGCUAUAGCUGGAGUCUCUCCACUCACCAGAAGUAUUCCACAUUUACAGCCAAACAUGGGGAACAAGCAUGUGCUCACUGUUCCCAUUUUUAAAGCAUGAGAAUGCCCAGCACAGUGUGUGCUGUGGUUUUGCCUGAGAGUGUCCCACAGCAAGAGCUGUAACAUGGACAAUUAUCAUGAAAAUUGAAGAAAAGUCACUUUCUUCCUUAAAAUCAUGAAACUGCCUUUGAAUUCCAUAGGUACCAACCUGAGGUGGCGUUUAACUGUCAGUCUAAACAGAAAAGGUUUGAUCAGCACAAUAUCAAGCAGUUUCUCUAUGAAAUUCUACAUCAGAGGAUGCUCCAGGCAGCAGCCAGACUGUCUGUAAACAUUCCAACUCUGCCCUCUACAACAUGCAGUCUUCAGACCAGAACCAAAGCAGGUUGCUGAGGAUGUACAGUAAAUGUCCCUGGGAAACUGAGAGUUAGCUUUUCCAAGCUCCUUAAUCCUGGGGAGGAAAAUGAGUGCCUGAUUAACCAAGAGGCCAUCUAAAGGCUGCUCAGCCUGCCAGAGAAUCAUGUGUGGUGUUUGUCUUUAUCCAAAUGGCUUUAAAGUUUCACCAUAUUUUUCUUUUUGUAACAAAGCAUGACAAAGAGGGGUCUGGGCAAUCCUCAUUGAGGUAUUUCUUGUUUGUUUGUCAUCCAUUACUAUUAGCCAGAGCCAAAAUCUAGACACCAAAUCAAGUUUCUCUGUCUUCCAUUAUAUUAUAUAAAAUUCCCAUCAUUUUGUGGACAUCAAACACUUCAAAAUAUACAAAUACUUUAAUACAUACAAGUCUUCAUAGUCCAUUAAAUAUAAUUAAUUCCAUGGUCUUCAAAAUAGUCUAUCACUGUAUUAACUGUAAGAAAAAGGUUUGCACUGGUAUUUAUAUAGUAUUGAUUUGAUCUGGCCUAUGCAAAACCUUUCAGCACACCACAGGGAUUAAAAAGAGCAGCAAUUCCACUAAAAUCCAGAGCAUUUGGGGUUAGAGCCAAACAAAGAAAAGAUACUAUCAGGAGAUUAUCAAGGGAGAGUGAUUACAGCUGCAGGAGUUAGCAGCAGUGUGUAUAGCACAUACAGAGACACUACACUGGCUUCCCCUUUAGAUGGACUUCUGGCAAGCCCAGUGCAUCCUGCUGGAGAAUCGCACUG